rnacentral:tRNA from 1 species
AAUUAAUAAGCUUUUAAUGCAUUUGUUUUGAAAACUUAAGAAAGAAUAAGUAAUUCUAUUAAUUU